rnacentral:lncRNA from 1 species
UUGUCUGAAAGGAAAUCCAUACCUGCAUGGCAGGGACUUCCUCCCACUGUAAUUAUGUUCCAAAUUCCUGAACCCUCUAUGUAAAUAUGAAUGAGAAGUGAUGAUUGUAAAUGUAAUGAUGGUGCUGUAGGUAAAAAGGUGACAGUAAUGUUGGGAAUGUCAGCUCUGCAGUGGCUGGAGGAACAAGUCCCCUCAAUUCUCCCUCUGCAUCAGAAGUGCCAGAUCCUGGAUCUCUCUGGACAAAAGGAGUUGCUCCACUCAGAUAUUCAGUGUUUAUCAGAUCAGUGUCCAUACAGACAAAACUGAGGAGUUCCAGUCAUUCAGUUCUCACAGUUUAAUGUUGUUGUUACUGCUCCAAUGUUUGCCAGUUGUUUGGGCAUGAAAAAAUCACCAGUUUUUACUGUGGGAAAAACCCCCAUGUUGUCCCAAACACUUCCCUGUCUUUAUAAAUCAUAGAGGAACUUACACUGAGGAUUCUGAACCCAAAGUUUUAUCUACUGAUAGAUCACAUUUAGAAUCAAUUUUUAGCUCCAUGUUCUUAUCAAAAUACUCUUUUUAAAAAAAGAAAGGAUAUGUUCUUGGAAGCUUAAAUAACCUCCACAGAGAAAUUUGUAUCCAUGCAGUUUUUACAACUAAAACCAGUUCUAACUAUUAUCUGCUGGUGGCACCAUUACACCAGAGGAAUUUAUUAUCCAAGUCUUAAAUGAAAAACUGCUACAGACUACACCUCUCAAUUUGAUUUAAUGGGAUUUUUUUUUUUUUUAAUUUCUUCAUAGUUUGGUGUCAGUUAAAGCAAGCCAUUUUGUUGCCAUUGGGCCUUUGUGGGUGACUUUUAAAGAAAUGAGCUUCAUAAGGAACCUGACCAUGAUGUAGCAGGGAAGAAAAUUGUCUGGCAGAGUCACCUAAAAUUCAGGAUAGCCCUGCUGAGAGGGGUCAAGGCUGAUGUUCUUCUUGAAACCCUUUGUUGGUACAUCAGAACCGUAAAGAGUGUGCAACCAGAAGUAACCACGAGGCAGGAGCUGGAAGCUGAAACUUGCAGCACAAGCCUGGCCCAGGCUGGUGUCAGGGGACAACUUCUGCAGCAGUCCCUGCCUGGAAGGAAGCCCUCCUCCCGCUGCCCCUGCUGCAUCUGGAGACAUUGUGAGAACCUUGGAGCACAAAGGCCUUUGGACAUCUCAGCAAUGGAGAAUUUUGUCUCCAAAAUUCCUGGUCUAUUUUUGAAAUGUGGCCAUUAUGUGAGAGAAAAUUUAUCUAGAACUCAGCACUUCUGGAGGUCGCAGAUGAGGACACAUCACUCAGUGAUUCUACUACUGAACAGUGUGUGUAGCUCAUACAGAGGAGGACUUGGCUCAGCCUACCCUAAAUUUGCCUUCAGUGCAACAUCCACGCUUGAUCAUAGCUGGAGCUUCCUCUCAUCAAAGAAAAUAAGUAGAAGAACCAACCACCUGCCACUCACUUGGUCACCUCUACAAAACCAGGCUGGGGCUGAGAAUCAAUAGCAACGACACGGAACUUUUGUGGUGAGUUCUCUUUGAACAAGAGCUGUGCUGGGAGAGCAAACAACACCUGGAGGAGCUGGGCAUGGGCUGAAAGGGAGCAGGGAUGGUGGGCAGAGGCUGUUUGUGCUCCAGGGUGGGGCUCUGGCACAGGCAGGAGGAGGAGGAGGAGGAGAAUGCCUCCAUCAGCCUCUGGUAAUGCGGGAGAAGAGCAGGCAAGCUCCCACCUUGCCCUGCCCUGGCUGGAUGGGCAGCGGCUCCUCUGUGCCUGCCAGGAUGAAAGCCCCGGAGUGGAACUGCCCCCAGCCCCUCCGGCUCUUGGCUGGGGUGGGGUCACACCGAGGACAAAUCCCAGGGUUGUCACUGGGCACUGGGAAAUCGCGAUCUGGCGAAGGCAGCAGAUCCAUCACCACUCACACCUCUGCCCAAGCUGAAUUCCCUGAGGAAACCAGUGUCCCUGUGCCCUAACUGGGAAGCAGGAGGAUGGCAUGUUACCCACUCUGGCUGGGCCCAAAUACCCAAUGUCCAAGUGAUCUGCAUUUGGGUGCUGGGGUUUUUUCUUAAUCUCUUUUUUUUUUUGUUGUUCUUAGCCUUCUAAAAACAAACUUCAGAUUCGUCAGCUGGAAGUGAUCUCAUCGCGUUACAGAUUUGCUUUCCUGGGAAACUAAACUCUUCUGGUGUAAUGAUGGGAAAGUCUCACCUUCCCUUUUUCUAUAUUCCUUUAACCAAGGUUCUGUUGAAAUUAGCUUGGCAGGCCAACAGCUCAGAAGCAAAGACACAAAAGAAAAACCUUUGUUACUAUUAGGUUUUUUAUUCUAUUUAUUUUCUUACCCAUCUCAUGAUUUUGGGGAGAUGGCAAGUGAUUUUUGAAUAUUUAUUGACACAUAUCCAAAUCUGUAGAGACGGAUACAUUUUACUAAUACAGUAGUCUGUUUGUCUCACUGCCAGCAAAAAAAAUAGAGGCAAACCCCAAUAAUUAAUUAUUGAACUGUGUUUUGUAGUUUUCUUUGAGUUGCAACACUGUCUGCUCACUCCUACUGUUUUUUCUGCCUCUUACAAAUUCUUUGCACAAGUGGAAGCCCAACUCAGCUAACCCAGUGCAGUAUCACUGUACUCAAGUGAGGAUGGGCUUGGCUCCUCUUCAAAGGGAGCUUUUAUCGAGUGUUUAGUGUGAUGUGACAAAGCAGGGAAGUGUGCCACGGGAUGUGGUGCUUCCAAAUCCCCUCCUUCUACCUUGAUUAAACUUGAGGGCAAUUACCCUUGC